UACGGAGGGUGCAAGCGUUCUCCGGAUUCACUGGGUUUAAAGGGUGCGUAGGUGGGCAGGUAAGUCAGUGGUGAAAUCUCCGGGCUUAACUCGGAAACUGCCAUUGAUACUAUCUUUCUUGAAUACCGUGGAGGUCAGCGGAAUAUGUCAUGUAGCGGUGAAAUGCUUAGAUAUGACAUAGAACACCAAUUGCGAAGGCAGCUGGCUACACGAAUAUUGACACUGAUGCACGAAAGCGUGGGGAUCAAACAGG
rnacentral:rRNA from 1 species